ensembl:lncRNA
CAACCCCUGUUUGGUCUCAGCUUGCCUGUGCUACAUUACCAAAUGUGUCCGAAGCGUGUCGGUUUGGACUUGUUUGUGUGUCAGCACGCUUGAUUUUCACUCCGGCUCAUCGGAUCUUUUCAGCCAGACACUCCACAGACAUUCAUUCAUUAAAGUCAUCCUGAAAUAUUUACUCAUAUAGAUCUACGGUGGUGUUGGGUGUUGCUUAAGUAAUUAAAGGGGCUGAAGUGUUGGCUGUGUAGGAUCACUGGAGGUCUGCUGUAGUUCAGGUUUGGGGUGGGAAGCGUAUCCAUGUGAGUGGGCCGAUCGGACAUCACGGAUCGGUUUACUCUGUCAGGGUUUAUAUGACACAGACGAGUAAUGGGCAGGACGUGACAGCGCACUAGAUUAACCCUGAGGGAUCAUGUCAUUGUAUUUCCUACUAGCCUGUGUUAUUGGCUCUGCUCUUUCUUUGCAAUCAUAAUAACAGCUUCAGUUCAGUACAUGCUGUAUCAGUUAUUAUGACAUCUUUUGGUUUUCUUGCAGGUGAUGCUGCUUGUGUUUGUAUGUCUUCUGGGUCUCGUUGAUGGACAUUUCCUCCAGGAGGAGAAAGAAGAACCCCGUCCUAGCAAGCUGAGAGCCUUUUCAACUUCUGCAGAACAUCCAGGACCACAGAAAGAUCUAGAUGAGUGGCAGAGCAGAGCACCAUGGGCACGACUGCAUGUGGAAAUGAAAUAACCGUGCACAUAAUAAUGUAGAAACACGAGGGGAAUGCAAACGUACCGUGAGUAUCUCUUGUGAGGACAUGCACUACAAUACAGACUUAAGAUAAAGAAAUGUUUUUGCUUUAAUUAGCUCUAAGGAUGUAAUUUAAUGCUGACAUGCCCAUGUACUUUGUUUUGUGCAGUAUGAUAAACAUGAUCAGCAUUAGCUGAGCCACAAGCUGACAUGUUGGGCAAACAAACAGAGCAGUGUUUUUACAGAGCUACAGACCCAGAGUGUUUACACUCACUCUACAGGAAGUCAACCGUGAUAUGCUGCCACUGAAUUAGACCCCGUUCACAAAAACACCGCCAUCAAUGGAUGCUGACUGGACAUUAAAAUACACAAAACAGCUCAAAUAUACAAUAUAUCAACAGAUGU